rnacentral:rRNA from 1 species
UACAGAGGUCUCAAGCGUUGUUCGGAUUCAUUGGGCGUAAAGGGUGCGUAGGCGGCGCGGUAAGUCGGGUGUGAAAUCUCGGAGCUUAACUCCGAAACUGCAUUCGAUACUGCCGUGCUUGAGGACUGGAGAGGAGACUGGAAUUUACGGUGUAGCGGUGAAAUGCGUAGAUAUCGGUGGGAACGCCAGUGGCGAAAGCGGCAGACUGGACCCUUCCUGACGCUGAGUGCGCGAAAGCUAGGGGAGCAAACGGG